ACGUAGGUGGCAAGCGUUAUCCGGAUUCACUGGGCGUAAAGCGAGUGCAGGUGGUUGUGUAAGUUGGAUGUGAAAUUUCCCGGCUUAACCGGGAAGGGUCAUUCAAUACUGCGCGACUUGAGGGCAGAAGAGGGGGGUGGAAUUGCCGGUGUAGUGGUGAAAUGCGUAGAUAUCGGCAGGAACACCUGUGGCGAAAGCGGCCCCCUGGUCUGCUCCUGACACUCAGACUCGAAAGCUAGGGUAGCGAACGGGAUUAGAAACCCCGGUAGUCCUAGCCGUAAACGAUGGAUGCUAGGUGUGGGUGGUAUUGACCCCAUCCGUGCCGAAGCUAACGCGUUAAGCAUCCCGCCUGGGGACUACGGCCGCAAGGUUA
rnacentral:rRNA from 1 species